UAAUGUAAACAACUAAAAUGUUUAUUAACCGAACUGAAUUUUUUUUUCUUUUACAGCAAAUUCUUAUCACAACACAGUCUUCAAAUGACACUUAACCCUUUGAGUACAGUUAGGUUGGCCACUCUGAUCUGAAGAGUAAGCAGUGAACAGACCAGGGGAUUCCUCUGCCAUAGUCCACUAUAAAACAUGAAGUGGCACAUCAGGAGCUCGAAAGUCCUAAACUUGUGUUAUUUUUUUUAAAAAGUCAGACAUAAAAGGAUAAAACACAAUGCCCCCCCCCCCCCCAAUUCCUUCCUUCCUUCUUUCUUUCUUUCUUUCUUUCUUUCUUUCUUUCUUUCUUUCUUUCUUUCUUUCUUUCUUUCUUUCUUUCUUUUUUUUUAGCAGAAACUGAAACAAGAACAUUUUCAAGAUUUUCGAUUUUCUUUACAUGUGUACAUGGUUCUAUGUUGUCUGAUUUCCAUGAAGUCAUGUUUCACUUCAGAUCAUACAAACAUGUUGGAGAAAAAAAAAAGCUCAUGAAUGCAGUGAGCAGCCUGUCCUGGCGCUUAGAAAAGACGCUUAUCUAUGCAGGUUCUGAUUUCCGAGUCUGAUUUCCACCUCUGCCGACUCUUAGUAAGGGACACCGAUUAGAGAUCAGAAUAUAUACACACAGGCUAAUCAAAACUGUGUUAUCCUAAAACAGUGAAAAGACAUGAAUCUAUGACGGAUACAAUACUAAACAGGUUAGAGCAAGAAUAGAAAAAUAAAUAGUAAAAACAAUAGAAAUGUUGCUUCUCUCAUAUUCAGCUUGCAACGCUCAGUUCCAAAGAAGCUGUGGUAGUGAAAAUUAUCCUCAUAGUCUUACUUUCUUUACAGUGACCUUCCCCUUUACACAGUAUUUACAAGCAAAAACAGAGCCUAUCCCACGAGAUAAGAAACGUAGUCCACUAAAAUGAAUACAUUUUUCAUGAACACAAUGGGAAUUUUUAAAAAACUGCAGAGUUGUAUCACAUUGUCAGUAUGUAAAAGCACUUACACACAGUUUGCAAACAGUGGUUUUUAGUAGACGUAGUUCAUAUCAAAUCAGUCAACAGAGCAAUCUGAAACUUUGUACAAUUAUCUGCUUUUGUUUCCUUUGAUUUUUUUUUGCUUUUGAUGGGUACAGAAAACAUUUACAUCAUCUUUUUUUCCCCUUCUGUAUGUGUACUUUGUCCACAGUUGACAAUUUCGGUAUUAGAGUGUUUAGAGUGUAAGGAGAGGUGAUACAAGGACAUCGUGGCUAAGGAGGACAUGCUGUAAUAAUUGCUCUCAACUCCAAAAAGCGAGGUCAUACCUAAAACUGUUUUAAAUACCAGUUAAAUUACAUAAAAUGUUUUUUUGAUAUAUAUAUAUUAAAGCCAGUGCAGACUAUAACAAUUGUAACAUGUCCCAAUUUUACCAUGAGUUGUCCUAUUGCUAUGCAAAUGGGUUGCAGCUUCUGCAUUCUUUUUUUAAUGGCAAACAAGGGGUGGGUCAUCUUGUUGCAACACGCCUGAUGGUUGUACAGAAGUCUCUUUGAAAACAGCCUUCAGCUCAGUGAACAUUUUAUUGAUGAGUUCAUGGUUUUAAUUGCUGGGUUUUGGUACAAUACCUUGUCACUGAAAAGAUUCCAUAUGAACUUAUUGUAUAGUAUCUUUCGAUUACAGGCAGAUCCACUCCUCACUGAUAGUUUAAAGAAAGCCAAGAUGGCAAAGGUGGAAGAACUCACCAACAAAACUAAUGACCUAGACCCUGAACCAUCCCUUAGUUAUGCUGCAGUAGGUUUAGACUUCUGGGGGUCAGGGCAGAUGGCUGCCUCUCCCUGAGCCUGGUUCUUCUCGAGGUUUAUUGCUGUUAUGGGUGUUUUUCCUUCCCACUGUUGCCAAGUGUUUGCUCAUUGGGGGUCACCUGAUUGUUGAGGUUCCUCUGCAUUAUUGUAGGAUCUUUAUCUUAUAGUAUAAAGUGCCUUGUUGUGACUUGGAGCAAUAUAAAUAAAACUGAAUCCCUCUGGUAUUCUUUAUAGUCUAGGAUUUCUACAGAAAAAUACUUUUUUUUUUUAAACUUGCCUAGAGAAGAUCCUAUGGAUUGCAAUGAAGCCUUUUCCAGGAUCUCUUGCAUUUGCAGCACUUGCAGUCAUUUGCUCUUAUCCUAAAGUUGUACAAAUGAAAAUGACAAGGCUGUUUUCUUUGGGUACAAGAGCCAAUUUCAUUAUUAUAGACUAUGUACCUCUCCAAUUUCUUGCCUUGGUGCCCUUUAGCCUCAUUGGAUUUUGUUCAUCUCAGUCUCAGACCUGUUUACAACCUGCUCCUCGAUACCAUCUUGUUUGCCGCUAUGACAGAAAUAUGGUACAGCAAGCGGAUUACUCAUGACGAUGGAUUAUUGUCUUGAUAAGACAACUGCAGUAAAAGUUAUGUAUUUUGGACUAGGCUUUUUUGCAGCUCACCAACUGAUUUCCAUGUCUUCACAAUUAAAAAAAAUGAAAGUUUCAUUUCCACUGUGAAGGAUUAUCUCAACCUGAAAGCUGUUUUUCAUCCUGACACGACGAAUGGAUUCUUCUGAAGGAGGAAAAUGAGUCCUGAUAUCUGCACUGACUGAGUGCAGAAGAUUCAAACACGAAGGAGAAAUCGAGAGAGAGAAGGCCCUAACUGUCGAAACUUUGAAAGGAAACCCCAGUUAUUAUUACAGCUGCCAAAAAUUAACUGAGUGGUAAGUUGAUGCGCAACAAAGGAUUACCUAAUAACAAUUUUUUUGCUUAUUUGAUCAGAGGGUGAACAUUUCACAUCAGAUUUCUGCAGUUAUAUAACAAUCAUGUUAUAUAACUGCAGCAUAAGUCGUGGCCUUGAAACCUAAUUUGCUUUUAG
ensembl:lncRNA